rnacentral:rRNA from 1 species
UACGUAGGGUGCGAGCGUUAAUCGGAAUUACUGGGCGUAAAGCGUGCGCAGGCGGUUCGUUGUGUCGGCGGUGAAAGCCCCGGGCUCAACCUGGGAAUGGCCGUUGAAACUGGCGAACUGGAGUGUGGCAGAGGGGGGUGGAAUUCCGCGUGUAGCAGUGAAAUGCGUAGAGAUGCGGAGGAACACCGAUGGCGAAGGCAGCCCCCUGGGCUGACACUGACGCUCAGGCGCGACAGCGUGGGGAGCAAACAGG